AUGAGGGCUCUAUUCUGGAACAUUAGGGGUUUCGGUGCUAGGGGGCGCCGGGAUCAAAUUAAAGACUUGGUUCGUGGGAAUAAUGUUGAUUUGAUAGGGAUGGUGGAGACUUUCAAAGCUUCUUUCUCUCCUCAUGAAUUGUCAUCUAUUGCG
rnacentral:rRNA from 1 species